rnacentral:rRNA from 1 species
AUCUUGGUGGUAGUAGCAAAUAUUCAAAUGAGAACUUUGAAGCUGAAGAGGGGAAAGGUUCCAUGUGAAUGGCACUUGUACAUGGGUUAGUCGAUCCUAAGAGAUGGGGGAAGCCCGUCAGAUAGCGCGAUCAGCACGAGCUUCGAAAGGGAAUCAGGUUAAAAUUCCCAAACCGGGACGCGGCGGUUGACGACAACGUUAGGGAGUCUGGAGACGUCGACGGGGGCCCCGGGAAGAGUUAUCUUUUCUAUUUAACGGCCUGCCCACCCUGGAAUCGGCUCAGCCGGAGGUAGGGUCCAGCGGCCGGAAGAGCACCGCACGUCGCGUGGUGCAUUCGUAUUUCAUAAUCAGAGGUGAAAUUCUUGGAUUUAUGAAAGACGAACCACUGCGAAAGCAUUUGCCAAGGAUGUUUUCAUUAAUCAAGAACGAAAGUUGGUGGCUCAAAGACGAUCAGAUACCGUCCUAGUCUCAACCAUAAACGAUGCCAACCAGGGAUCGACGGAUGUUGCUUUCAGGACUCGACCAGCACCUUAUGAGAAAUCAAAGUCUUUGGGUUCUGAGGGGAGUAUGGUCGCAAGGCUGAAAUUUAAAGGAAUUGACGGAAGGGCACCACCAGGAGUGGAGCAUGCGGCUUAAUUUGACUCAACAUGGGGAAACUUACCAGGUCCAGACAUAGUAAGGAUUGAUAGACUGAGAGCUCAUUCUUGAUUCUAUGGGUGGUGGUGCAUGGCCGUUCUUAGUUGGUGGAGCGAUUUGUCUGGUUAAUUCCAUUAACGAACGAGACUUCAGCCUGCUAACUAGCUAUGCGGAGGCACCCUUCGCAGCCAGCUUCUUAGAGGGACUAUGGGGCCCAUCUUGGAAAAAUGUAUAUGGGGCCCAUCUUGAAAAAAUGUAUAUGGGCGCAUCUUGAAAAAAUGUAUGUGGGGCCCACCUUGAAAAAAUGUAUGUGGUGCCCACCUUGAAAAGAUGUAUGUGGGGCCCACCUUGAAAAUAUGUAUGUGGGGCCCACCUUGAAAAAAUAUAUAUGGAGCCCACCUUGAAAAAAUGUAUGUGGGGCCUACCUUGAAAAAAAUGUAUAU